UGGUAGAGGAGGGUGGUUUGGGGAAUUUAGGUAACGUUGUUGUGGAUAUGAAGAAAAGUAAGAAGAUACAAAGGAUUGUUGCAGAGAAUGGUAACAACGAAACCAAUGUUUGGAGUUCCAUUUUGCAGGUUAGUAAGUUGGAGGUGAUACUAAAAGUGGUUGUUAUAUUACUUGUCUUAUCUCUUCAUCACUGUGGUUGUGUGAUGAACUUUUAUACUUUGAAAUAAAAAACGUAAUUUUGUUUAUAUAAUUUAUUUAUUUUACUCAAUUAUAUAAUUUAAUUGAGAAAACUAAAUUAUUUAAUUCACAAUUUAAAAUUAUAAAAAUAAAAAAAAUUGUAUAUGAUUACAAUAACUAAACUCAUAUGAAAAUAUAAUAUUAUAUUAAAAUAUAAGAAAAUUAUUAAUUUUACUCUCAAUCGAAUAAUAAAGGAAAAGAAAAUAUUCACAAGACUAAGUAUAGCAGAAGUAUAAAUAUCCGGUACAUAUAUUUCAUCAUUUUAAAAUAUAUCUUGCUUCAUUUAUUUUAUAUUUAAUCAAGUUGAGUUCUCUGUUUUUAUUAAUUUACAAAAUUAAUUCUCAUAUUUUAAAAAUUAAUAAUUUUGCUCUUUUAUUUAAAAAAUUUAACUACAAAAUUGUGGUUUGAGAUAUUUUUAAUUACAUAGCAUACAAUUUUAUGAUAUAUAUUUACUUAAAUGCAUUAAUCAUUUAUAUUUAUUAAUUAAAUUAUAAAAAUAAAUAAUUUUACAAAUUAAAAUUAAAUUUUUCAGAGAUUUUAUAAGUGUUAAUAAUUUAACCUAGUCAUGUUAUAUGCCACAUUUUUAAAAAAUAUAUUAAAUUAAUAUUUUUUAAUUAAAAAAUAUAAUUAAUAAAUCAAAACUAUUAAAUUUUUAAAUAUAAAAAUUAAUUUCGUAAAUUAAUAAAUUCAAGAAACAUUUAUUUUAUCGGUAGUGUCCACUUGACUUACCCAUUUCCAUAGGUUGUUUUGUUUUUAUAAAGGUUUUGUUGUUUGUCAUUAAUUAAUAAUAAAGUUUUAUUUAUUUAUUUAUUUAUUAUUGUUGUUUAUCUAUAAAAAAAUAGUAUGUUGGACUGAAAAGAGUUGUGGCAAAUUUAAAAGUGAACAGAAAAAUGCGGCAAAGGAUAGUGCAGAUGAGGCAAGCCUCCACUUCUACAGUGCUGGUGAGUAGCUGGAAUGCAUUGUCUCUGCAUUUCACUUUUAUGUGAUGUGGUUCUUUUUUUUAUAAAAAAUAAAUUAAACUACGAAACCAACGAGGGAGGCAAACUCUUCUUACAUCAUCUAAGUUGAGCCUUAGAUCACGAAAAACAAUAUCAACGUAGAUACAAUCAAAAACUAAAGAUGAAUGUUCUCAAUUAGCAACCAAGUCAACGCAAUGAUUCACUUCACAUAAAACAUGGCAAACAAAAGUUCUCCAAAGACAUUGGAGAAGGAAAAUAAUCUCUUGCACAAGAGGUUGAAUAAAUACAUUAAGAAAAAAUCCAUAGAUGAUCAUGUUACCAACAACCAAAGAAUCCAUCUCAAAUAUCACAUGUUUAAUAUUCAUCUGUAAGGCAAGCGAUAUUCCAAUUUGAACGAUCUGUUAUUUAACUCAAAAUGUAAUUUUUAGCUUUAGCCAUCUUUAUUGUAAAUAAGAUUGUUGAUAGAAUCAUGCUAUCAAAUACAAUCCCUACCGAGAAUUUAUUGGGUGCUCCUUUAGGACAUACUUUGAUAACAUUGCUUUAUUUAGAAAUCAUCUAUGCAAAAUUGGGCACUAUAACAAUUACAAAUUACAGAAAUACCAACUCAACUCAAUGGUGUACCACCUCAUCAAUACCCCAUGAUGAGACUUCACCUUCUAUUCAGUUAACAAAGCAUAAN
rnacentral:lncRNA from 1 species